UUGGCUUGUUACCGGUGGUCGGCUGUGCACAACUUCCACCUGACAUGCCUAUUCGUUUGUCCGUUAAGGCUUUGAUUGCCUGAACAAACUGUGGGUUUCCUGUGUUGCUUGCCUAACAAACGGUAUUGAUUUGGCUUAUUGAAGUUUCGUUCGUCUUUCGUCAUGCRGAUGACAUUAGAUGAACCCUAAUCAUGUCUCUUUGAACCACAUCAUUAAUGCUUGUGUUGAUGUAGUGGCGCAUUGAGCCUUGCUUGGUCUCUUUGAUGUAGUGCUUGAUGUGGGCAUGGGUCUAUUGUGAUCCUUGKWAUGUCCCUGAUUAGUGUUUACGCUUCGUAAAAUGGUAAAAUGACUGCUCGACACGUGUUGGCUCGUAAAAGCGUGUAGGGCUUUGUCUAAAAGGAAUGUUACCUGGU
rnacentral:misc_RNA from 1 species